rnacentral:rRNA from 1 species
CGGGGGGAGCAAGCGUUGUUCGGAUUUACUGGGCGUAAAGGGCGCGUAGGCGGCCACCGCAAGUCGACUGUGAAAUCUCCGGGCUUAACCCGGAAAGGUCAGCCGAUACUGCGGGGCUAGAGUGCAGAAGGGGCAACUGGAAUUCUCGGUGUAGCGGUGAAAUGCGUAGAUAUCGAGAGGAACACCUGCGGCGAAGGCGGGUUGCUGGGCUGACACUGACGCUGAUGCGCGAAAGCUAGGGGAGCGAACGGGAUUAGAUACCCCGGUAGUCCUAGCCUUAAACGAUGAAUGCUUGGUGUCUGGGGUUUUAUAGUCCCCGGGUGCCGUCGCUAACGCUUUAAGCAUUCCGCCUGGGGAGCACGGUCGCAAGACUG